rnacentral:rRNA from 1 species
GACAGAGGGAGCAAACGUUGUUCGGAAUUACUGGGCGUAAAGCGCGUGUAGGCGGCUGCGUAAGUCGGGCGUGAAAUCCCACGGCUCAACUGUGGAAGAGCACUCGAAACUGCGUAGCUAAAGUCCUGGAGAGGAAGGUGGAAUACUUGGUGUAGAGGUGAAAUUCGUAGAUAUCAAGUGGAACACCAGUGGCGAAGGCGGCCUUCUGGACAGUGACUGACGCUGAGACGCGAAAGCGUGGGGAGCAAACAGG